rnacentral:rRNA from 1 species
GGGUUGUGAGGUUAAGCGACUAAGCGUACACGGUGGAUGCCCUGGCAGUCAGAGGCGAUGAAGGACGUGCUAAUCUGCGAAAAGCGUCGGUAAGGUGAUAUGAACCGUUAUAACCGGCGAUGUCCGAAUGGGGAAACCCAGUGCAAUUCGUUGCACUAUCGUUAACUGAAUACAUAGGUUAACGAGGCGAACCGGGGGAACUGAAACAUCUAAGUACCCCGAGGAAAAGAAAUCAACCGAGAUUCCCCCAGUAGCGGCGAGCGAACGGGGAGCAGCCCAGAGUCUGAAUCAGCUUGUGUGUUAGUGGAACGGUCUGGAAAGUCCGACGGUACAGGGUGAUAGUCCCGUACACCAAAAUGCACAGGUUGUGAACUCGAAGAGUAGGGCGGGACACGUGGUAUCCUGUCUGAAUAUGGGGGGACCAUCCUCCAAGGCUAAAUACUCCUGACUGACCGAUAGUGAACCAGUACCGUGAGGGAAAGGCGAAAAGAACCCCGGCGAGGGGAGUGAAAAAGAACCUGAAACCGUGUACGUACAAGCAGUGGGAGCACCUUCGGGUGUGACUGCGUACCUUUUGUAUAAUGGGUCAGCGACUUAUAUUCUGUAGCAAGGUUAACCGUAUAGGGGAGCCGCAGGGAAACCGAGUCUUAACUGGGCGUUAAGUUGCAGGGUAUAGACCCGAAACCCGGUGAUCUAGCCAUGGGCAGGUUGAAGGUUGGGUAACACUAACUGGAGGACCGAACCGACUAAUGUUGAAAAAUUAGCGGAUGACUUGUGGCUGGGGGUGAAAGGCCAAUCAAACCGGGAGAUAGCUGGUUCUCCCCGAAAGCUAUUUAGGUAGCGCCUCGUGAACUCAUCUUCGGGGGUAGAGCACUGUUUCGGCUAGGGGGUCAUCCCGACUUACCAACCCGAUGCAAACUACGAAUACCGAAGAAUGUUAUCACGGGAGACACACGGCGGGUGCUAACGUCCGUCGUGAAGAGGGAAACAACCCAGACCGCCAGCUAAGGUCCCAAAGUCAUGGUUAAGUGGGAAACGAUGUGGGAAGGCACAGACAGCCAGGAUGUUGGCUUAGAAGCAGCCAUCAUUUAAAGAAAGCGUAAUAGCUCACUGGUCGAGUCGGCCUGCGCGGAAGAUGUAACGGGGCUAAACCAUGCACCGAAGCUGCGGCAGCGACACUAUGUGUUGUUGGGUAGGGGAGCGUUCUGUAAGCCUGCGAAGGUGACCUGUGAGGGUUGCUGGAGGUAUCAGAAGUGCGAAUGCUGACAUAAGUAACGAUAAAGCGGGUGAAAAGCCCGCUCGCCGGAAGACCAAGGGUUCCUGUCCAACGUUAAUCGGGGCAGGGUGAGUCGACCCCUAAGGCGAGGCCGAAAGGCGUAGUCGAUGGGAAACAGGUUAAUAUUCCUGUACUUGGUGUUACUGCGAAGGGGGGACGGAGAAGGCUAUGUUAGCCGGGCGACGGUUGUCCCGGUUUAAGCAUGUAGGCUGGUUGUCCAGGCAAAUCCGGAUAAUCAAGGCUGAGGUGUGAUGACGAGGCACUACGGUGCUGAAGUAACAAAUGCCCUGCUUCCAGGAAAAGCCUCUAAGCAUCAGGUAACAUCAAAUCGUACCCCAAACCGACACAGGUGGUCAGGUAGAGAAUACCAAGGCGCUUGAGAGAACUCGGGUGAAGGAACUAGGCAAAAUGGUGCCGUAACUUCGGGAGAAGGCACGCUGGUGUGUAGGUGAAGUCCCUGCGGAUGGAGCUGAGACCAGUCGAAGAUACCAGCUGGCUGCAACUGUUUAUUAAAAACACAGCACUGUGCAAACACGAAAGUGGACGUAUACGGUGUGACGCCUGCCCGGUGCCGGAAGGUUAAUUGAUGGGGUUAUCCGUAAGGAGAAGCUCUUGAUCGAAGCCCCGGUAAACGGCGGCCGUAACUAUAACGGUCCUAAGGUAGCGAAAUUCCUUGUCGGGUAAGUUCCGACCUGCACGAAUGGCGUAAUGAUGGCCAGGCUGUCUCCACCCGAGACUCAGUGAAAUUGAACUCGCUGUGAAGAUGCAGUGUACCCGCGGCAAGACGGAAAGACCCCGUGAACCUUUACUAUAGCUUGACACUGAACAUUGAGCCUUGAUGUGUAGGAUAGGUGGGAGGCUUUGAAGCGUGGACGCCAGUCUGCGUGGAGCCAACCUUGAAAUACCACCCUUUAAUGUUUGAUGUUCUAACGUUGGCCCCUGACCGGGGUUGCGGACAGUGUCUGGUGGGUAGUUUGACUGGGGCGGUCUCCUCCCAAAGCGUAACGGAGGAGCACGAAGGUUAGCUAAUCCUGGUCGGACAUCAGGAGGUUAGUGCAAUGGCAUAAGCUAGCUUGACUGCGAGCGUGACGGCGCGAGCAGGUGCGAAAGCAGGUCAUAGUGAUCCGGUGGUUCUGAAUGGAAGGGCCAUCGCUCAACGGAUAAAAGGUACUCCGGGGAUAACAGGCUGAUACCGCCCAAGAGUUCAUAUCGACGGCGGUGUUUGGCACCUCGAUGUCGGCUCAUCACAUCCUGGGGCUGAAGUAGGUCCCAAGGGUAUGGCUGUUCGCCAUUUAAAGUGGUACGCGAGCUGGGUUUAGAACGUCGUGAGACAGUUCGGUCCCUAUCUGCCGUGGGCGCUGGAGAAUUGAGGGGGGCUGCUCCUAGUACGAGAGGACCGGAGUGGACGCAUCACUGGUGUUCGGGUUGUCAUGCCAAUGGCACUGCCCGGUAGCUAAAUGCGGAAGAGAUAAGUGCUGAAAGCAUCUAAGCACGAAACUUGCCCCGAGAUGAGUUCUCCCUGAGACUUUAAGUCUCCUGAAGGAACGUUGAAGACGACGACGUUGAUAGGCCGGGUGUGUAAGCGCAGCGAUGCGUUGAGCUAACCGGUACUAAUGAACCGUGAGGCUUAACCUUACAACGCCGAAG